rnacentral:rRNA from 1 species
CAGAGGUCCCAAGCGUUGUCGGAUUCACGUGGGCGUAAAGGGUGCGUAGGCGGUCGGGUAAGUCUGAUGUGAAAUCUCAGAGCUCAACUCUGAAACUGCAUUGGAUACUAUUCGGCUUGAGGUCUGGAGGGGGGACUGGAAUUCUCGGUGUAGCAGUGAAAUGCGUAGAUAUCGAGAGGAACACCAGUGGCGAAGGCGAGUCCCUGGACAGGUCCUGACGCUGAGGCACGAAAGCUAGGGGAGCAAACAGGAUUAGAUACCCUGGUAGUCCUAGCCGUAAACGGUGCGUAUUUGCUGUAAAAGGAAUCGACCCCUUUUGUGGCGUAGCAAACGCGUUAAAUACGCCGCCUGGGAAGUACGGUCGCAAGAUUA